AACGAACGCUGGCGGCAGGCCUAACACAUGCAAGUCGAACGCUCGUAGCAAUACGAGAGUGGCAGACGGGUGAGUAACACGUGGGAACCUUCCCUAUGGUUCGGAAUAGCCCAGGGAAACUUGGGGUAAUACCGGAUAAGCCCUUACGGGGAAAGAUUCAUCGCCAUUAGAUGGGCCCGCGUCGGAUUAGCUAGUUGGUGGGGUAACGGCUCACCAAGGCGACGAUCCGUAGCUGGUCUGAGAGGAUGAUCAGCCACACUGGGACUGAGACACGGCCCAGACUCCUACGGGAGGCAGCAGUGGGGAAUAUUGGACAAUGGGCGCAAGCCUGAUCCAGCCAUGCCGCGUGAGUGACGAAGGCCUUAGGGUUGUAAAGCUCUUUUGGCGGGGAAGAUAAUGACGGUACCCGCAGAAUAAGCUCCGGCUAACUUCGUGCCAGCCGCCGCAGUAAAAC
rnacentral:rRNA from 1 species